AUACAGCCAGGUAAGGGUGGACCAUUCUGUCAGGAUACAGCCAGGUAAGCAUGGACCAUUCUUUCAGAUGGUGUCAGGUGAGCAUGAUCCAUUCUGUCAGGAUGUAGCCAGGUAAACGUGGGCUGUUCCAUCAGGAUGCAGCCCUGUAAGUGUGAACCAUUUCUUAAGAAUGGAGCCAGGUAAGCAGGGACCAUUUUUUCAGGAUGCAGUCAGAAACUAUGAACCAUCCCCUCAGGAUGGAGCCAGGUAAGCAUGGACCAUUCCUUCAGGCUGCAGCCAGGUAAGUAAGAACCAUUCUUUCAGUACAGAAGCAAGCAAGCAUGGACCAUUCCUUCAGGAUGCAGCCAGGUAAACAUAGACCAUUCCUUCAUGAUAGUGCCAGGUAGGUGUGGAUCUUUCCUUCAGGACGGAGCCAGGUAAGCAUGGACCAUUCCUUCAGGAUGCAGCCAGGUAAGCAUGAGUCAUUUCUUAAGGAUGGAGUCAGAUAAGCAUGUAGCAUUCCUUCUGAAUGCAGCCAGGUAAGUGUGGGCCAUUCCUUCAGGAUGCAGCCAGGUAAGCAUGGACCAUUCCUUCUGGAUGGAGGUAGGUACAUAUGCACCUUUUUUUCAGGAUGGAGUCCAGUAAGCAUGGACCAUUCCUUCAGGAUGGAGCCAAGUAAGCAUGGACUACUUCCUCAGGAUGGAGUCGGAUAAGCAUGGCCCUCUCCUGGAUGCAGCCAGCUCAUGAAUCCUCUUCGGGCCAAGCUCAGAAGCUGGUGCCAUUGGUCAGCCUCCCUUCGUGGUUGGAGUUCUUCUCCCACAUCAGCUUCUGCCAGGGCAUGUGCCUGUGCAGCCUGAGUCCAGUGUUCCUGUGAGCUGAACUUGGCAGGGAAGGCUGCUCUGAGGCGGACACCACAGCAACAUCGGUGCCUGGGGAACUUCAGAUCCAAGGGCACCUGAAGACCUGGUUCCCACAUGGCUCCCUUCUCCUGUAACCCACCACGAUGUGGGCGGCCUCGAAGAAGGCCCACAAGCAACAUACCGAGUGCUCCAGGGAAGCGAGAGCACACACCGGGCAGGAUUCACAAUCAAGACAAGGUGAUGAUGGACAGGCAUGCACACAUGAGCACGUGGAGCACACAGUGUGUUUGGCUGCAGGAGAAGAAUCCAGUUUUCAGCAGGUGAAUGCAGAGAAGCCCUGCUGCUCAGGACAAAGAAUGUUUCCAGAAUGAACCAUGUUUGCAGCUCUCCAUUGCCCAGGAUGAGCGGCGUCCCCAGGUGCCUGGCCCUUUUAUCACCCAGGCUGAUGGUACAUCCAGAGGCAGCCAUGGCUCAGCCCCCAAGCAAGGCCAGCAAUGGCCAGGAAGAAGCUUAUUCAAUGGGACUCUCUGCAGAGUUUUUCUGACUUUCAGCUUGCAGGGAUGUGGGCAUAGAAAACAAGAGGCUGACUUCUCAAUCAAUCGUCACUUAAGGAUGCAGAGCCAGUGGAAGCCCUUUCUUUCAUGACUUUUAGCAUUUUUUCUUCAUUUUCAGAAAAUCCACACCAUCUCCAUAUAUGCAUGCACGCAUGAGUGUCCGUCCGCCCCCUAACUGUGGGGUUAAGAAUAAUGUGACUGCUCAUGCUGGAAAAACAAGACAAUUACCAUCAUAAAA